CUAUGUUCGUUGAUAGCUGGACGCUAGGCUGCAGUCGUCUCGUAUUCAAUGGCGCCGUUGUGUGUGGUUGGCUUUCUGGCAACCUCCAGUGUCGUGAGCUGAUUAAAGGUGAUAUAACUACCACCUUCAGGCCAAGUUGUGUUUGUGGAGGUAUGCAGGGGAGAGUUUAAUGUGGAUGGUUUGUGAUCCCCCGUAGGUGAUCUGUUUACAUUGCUGCUGCCGUAGAGUACUUGAGUGGGUGUUAUUAUCAAGAUGGAGAGAUUCUGAGAGGCAUGAGGAUCCCGAAGUGCUGGUGAAGGCAUGUCUUAACAGGAUGCUGUAUGUAACCAUUACUUGU